rnacentral:rRNA from 1 species
AUUGAACGCUGGCGGCAGGCCUAACACAUGCAAGUCGAACGGUAACAGGAAGAAGCUUGCUUCUUUGCUGACGAGUGGCGGACGGGUGAGUAAUGUCUGUGAAACUGCCUGAUGGAGGGGGAUAACUACUGGAAACGGUAGCUAAUACCGCAUAACGUCGCAAGACCAAAGAGGGGGACCUUCGGGCCUCUUGCCAUCGGAUGUGCCCAGAUGGGAUUAGCUAGUAGGUGGGGUAACGGCUCACCCAGGCGACGAUCCCUAGCUGGUCUGAGAGGAUGACCAGCCACACUGGAACUGAGACACGGUCCAGACUCCUACGGGAGGCAGCAGUGGGGAAUAUUGCACAAUGGGCGCAAGCCUGAUGCAGCCAUGCCGCGUGUAUGAAGAAGGCCUUCGGGUUGUAAAGUACUUUCAGCGGGGAGGAAGGGAGUAAAGUUAAUACCUUUGCGCAUUGACGUUACCCGCAGAAGAAGCACCGGCUAACUCCGUG